rnacentral:rRNA from 1 species
GACGAACGCUGGCGGCGUGCUUAACACAUGCAAGUCGAACGGAACGGCCCUGCUUUUGUGCGGUCCUCGGGUUGCGGAGGGGGGAGUUACCCGUGAGUACCCUGUACUUGACCUUGGGAUAACUUAAGGCAACUGGGGCUCAUACCGGCUAGGAGCUCCUGCUGCAUGGUGGGGGCUGGUAAGUUUAGGCGGUUGGGGGUGGACUAGCGGCUUAUGAGCUUGUUGGUGGGGUAGUGGCAUACGAAGGCUUAGCCGGGUAGCCGGCGUGCGAGGGUGACCAGCAACAGUGGGACUGGGAUACGGCCCAGACUCCUACUGGAGGCAGCAGUGGGGAAGAUUGCACAAUGGGCGGAGGCCAGAUGCAGCAACGCCGCGUGCGGGAUGACGGCCAUCGGGUUGUAGACCUCUUUCGCCUGUGACGAAGCGUAAAUGACGGUAACGGGUAAAAAAGCACCGGCUAACUACGUG